ACACAUCCCAACUCUCCACACGCUCCUUUGGAUCCUCAGACAGACACGUGGUUGGGUCGACAGAGCACGGGAAGUCAGUGUGUGCCUUGUGUGCCUGUAUGCAUGGCGCAUGAGUGUGGUGUGUGCUCCCACCGCGUGGAGGCUAGCUGAAGGUCUUGGGUGUUCUCUGUCACUACCUUCCUUAUUGUUUUGACACAGCACCGCUCACUGACUCUGGAGCUAGGCCAGCAGAUCGCAGUGUCUUCGCCAUGCUGGAUGCUUUACAUACUGUACCUAACUUCUUUGUUCUUAACCACGCUUUGGGCAUCAUUGCUCCCAUUUCACAGGGGAAGAGGGUGAUGUUAGGGAGGUACCACCUCCAUUGUCUUAGCUGUAACUGUUAUGAACAGCAGCAGUCACUCUAUUUGCCUCUGAGAAGAUCCUCUUCUGCAAAACAGGACUUCAAGAAUCGUUGAAUAAAUUUAUAAAUUGGACACUUUAUGAAGUAUAGGAGUUACCUUCAUCAAAGCCUUUGGAUAAAGGAGAAAACCUAUGUUCUACUUGUGGUCAAAAGACUAAUGUUCUACAUUUUUAAUAUCUAUAUUUUUGAGACUCUGUGUUUGUGUGUGUGUGUGUGUGUGUGUGUGUGUGUGUGUGUGUGAAGCCCCGGCUGCCCUGGAAAUUGCUCUGUAGACCAAGCUGGCUUCAAACUCACAGAGAUCUGUCUGCCUCUGCCUCUCAAGUGCAGAAAUUAAAGGCACGGGCCACCACUUUCCAGCCAAUCUUCUGUUUUUUUGCUACAAGGUCUCAAUGUGUAGCUCUGGCUGACCUGGAACUCACUAUAUAGAUCAGGCUGACCUAGCACUCAUAGGCGCCCACAUGCCUAUGCCUCCCAAGUGCUGGAAUUCUAGGUGUGUGCUAUAGUGCCCAACUAGAUAUUCUUGAUGACCAUAGAUAGAUGCUGGCAAGAUGGUUCAGUGGGCUAAGGUGCUGGUGACGUCUAAUAACCUGUUUGAUCCCUGCAAAUCUACAUGCUGUAAGGAGAGAGAACCAACUUCCACAAGUUGUCUUCUGACCCACACAUGCACACACAAAUAAAUGUAAUUAAAAAUCUAGAGGCACCGCCAAAGAGUGUCUGCAAUUUUAUGCAGAUCGUGUGUGUGUGUGUGUGUGUGUGUGUGUGUGUGUGUGUGUGUGUGUUUGUACACAUGGUUGCUUCUGUUCUUUGUCAGAUCAAAGGGAUUUCCAAUAUGGUUGACAAAGUUUUUCAAGUUUAAAAAACAACCAUAAUUUAUGGAAUAAUGAUAAUAGGAAAAAAUGAUUAGAGAAUAUUAGGGGCCUGAAGAGAUGGCUCAGCAGCGAGCUCUUGCAGGGGUCCUGAGUUUGGUUCCUAGCACCAUACGCAGCUUACAACCAUCUGUAGCUCUAGUCCCCGGGGGAUCUGGUGCCCUCUUCUGGCCUGUAUGGACACUUGCACACCAUGUAGUGCAUACAUACCUUGAAUCUUAGUACUCAGCCUGCGGAGGCAGGAGGAUCAGGAGGGAGUUCAAGGCUAGAUUCGGUUGCUUAAUGAGUUUGAAACUUGCAAGGGUUACACAGAGCAAACAAAGCAAAGCAAAACCAAAAAACGAACGAUAAGACAUCGGAUCCUGGGGUUCUAUACUAUCGUUUUCCUUAUGCACAACCAUCAUACUGUAUGGAUACUGAAUAAUUGCUGGGUGUUGCCCAGGAAGCAAAAUUCAGCCCCAAUAAGUGGAUUGCAAGAAUUAUCAGCACGAAUGACAGGAAACACGGAUAUCCCCAUAAAUUCAGUCGUCCUCGAGGUGCAUGUGGUAGCCUAUGUUGGUAUCUACUUAUGACAAAAGGAAUCUUCCUAUUGGAAUUGGGUAUUCCCCAGUGUGUUUCUCAGUAACCAUGUUCUCAUUGUCACUAUUUGAACACAUCCAGUUCACUCAGGGGAUUAAAAAACAAAGACACUUUCUUUGAGAAAGAAAGGAUGUGUGGAAAUGUGCCUCAUUUAACAACGUCUGCAUAAACCCUUGACUCGAUUAAUUUUAUUUGUUGAGAUUGAUAGGAGCAUCUUAUGGAAGGUGAAGUGACUUUCAUCUGUGCAUUAAGAGCGCAAUAAGCUCCAGGAGAAGCACCAUUGCAUAUGGUGCCACUUGGAACCAAAAGGCUGCAGCCCUCUAGGCUUCGUGGACCUGUAUCAAUCUUUCUGCCCCAGCAUCUCCAUAUCUCCUCCCUACCUACCACCCGUACCAACAUAUGCACUGUCAUGAUGGGAGAAAUGGAAGUUUUUUCUGCAUAAACAAUUUGUCCAUUGGCCGUUCUCUGAGUCUGCCAACCAGGUUGCCAAUUCUGAUGUCGACACCUGUCCAUUUGGAACAGGAAUGAAAACAGCCACUCAUUUCUGAGAGACCAUCAAACACCCUGUCUGUGAGCAACAGCUCUCCCUUAACUGCAAUCUGGGCAAGACAUGAGUGGGUCAGGCAGACAGAUAAUUGCCGAUCAGAUCCUCCAACUCUUUCCGUGUCCUCAACAUUGAAACUUUCCUAUCCCUUCAGUACGGUGCAGUUUGGGGAGAGUCACCAUCUUAGGGCUGUGUUAUGAGCUGCUGAGACUUCAUCCUGGUUAUGGAAUGGGAUCUCACUAUCAAGAUAUCAAGACUUGCUAGUGAGGGGAUAAAGUCAAUGGGCAUUUUCAGGUGGUUUUCAAGACGACGUUCUCCUUGUGGAGAAAACACAGAAAUGAUGUCCAAGCACAUUACAGUUAGACUCUGGGAAAUACACACACUUUUCCAUGGAAUCCAGGAUAUCUCUUAGCAACCCCACCCAUGUCUCUCUCUCUCUCUCUCUCUCUCUCUCUCUCUCUCUCUCUCUCUCUCUCUCUGUGUGUGUGUGUGUGUGUGUGUGUGUGUGUGUGUGUGUGUGUGUGCAUGUGAGUACGGGGCCCUUUUGACACUUCACCUUGUGCUUUUUCCUUUGUCUUGUGGAACCCUGUUCUCCUUUUUGUGAGGGAACAUCUUCCUGAAUCCUAUGUGGCAUAUAUUUUAGCCAUUGCGGCCAAUGGCUUGCAGAUGACAUAUCACCACUAAAGUGAACUUUCAGAGCAGCGUGGGCCCUGCCUUUGGGAGCUUCCUGCCUGGCACAGGCUGAGGACUAAUGUGGGUUUAAUGUUGUUAUGAGCCAGGCAGCUGAGCCGGGCAACAAUACGAGUCUGUUGGACAUGUCUUCUGGGUUGUCAUGUUCAAUUUGCACAUGACCUCCUGGCCAAAAAAUGGGAAAGAAGUGGUAGAAUGUGGGACUGAAAGCUCAUAUUAUUGCUUUGACAGCUUCACUCAUCUAGAAGUAAUGCAAAAUGCAAUUUAUAUUUAUAAACUCUGACCUCCUGCACAGAAAGGGAAAGUAUCUAAUGAUGGGCCGAGGUAGUGGAGGAAGAAACAGAUCUCAGUACAGCUGGAAUUUGUCUACGUUUCUGCUCUUCAACCAUUCAAUUACAGUCAAGAGACAAAUGAAGCAGGGACAGUGUGCUGGUGAGGUAGAGACACAAUUAUUUUAUAGUGACUGGCUUCUGGCUUUGAGUCUUGGCAAGGGAGGCCACAACACGCCUUAUUUCACUGGAGACAGAUAAUCUGCUUGCUCCCAUCGGACAAAGGCCCUCUGCUUGUAGGUGUGUCAUUAUGCCCAUCAGAGAGGAGAAAAGACACUGGCCAGUCAGUGACACUCCGGUAGGGUAUGCACUUGGAAGUUCUUGAGAGAGGCUGACAUGUUAAUCCUAUUAACCAAGAUAAAUCAAGUCAGGUCCGGUGGUAACUGGGGCAUUAUUCACUUUUGAGUGGAAAUAGGCAGAAGGCAGAAAGCAUCAUCUUCCUUUGUGGAUCAGGGAACUUACUGGCUUUUAUGUGUCCCCGAUUCAUUUUGAACAGAAUCCACCAGCUCACUGGGAGAAUGAGGACAUCAUUGUCUGAAUCGUCACAUGUGAACUGAGUAUUCCGACUAGUGUUUUAAAUGCACAGUAGUUUCUGUAAAAGUUGGCUGCCUGGGGCAGGGGAGAAAAUUCUGGGCUUUCCCUAAGGAUGUAAAGGGACAGAAGCAGCCACCUUCACAAAGCUGGUUAUGGUAUGGCAGAAAACUGUUAAGUUACCACUUUUGGUCUGCGUGAAGAGUCUUGCUAGAGACCCAAGGAUCAAACUUGAGAAGUGAACAGAGAGAAGUGGAACCGGGGCUGACAAGGUGAUACUACAACCACUGACUCCCUACACUCACGAGUGUUGAAGACACAGGCACAAGGUCUGGGAGAUUCUGGCACCACAAACACCCGUAGAAUACUGUAUAGUGACUUCUGGAAGGGGUGGCCAGGCUAUGACAAGUUGCAGGGAGACCGCGGAGAACUCAAUAAGAAGUAGCGGCGAGUGGAAUCAAAAAACGCUCGGAAUGUUUGGAAGACUGAGCGAAGAUGGCUCCAAAUGAUAGGAGGGAGAUGGAGGCUUCUUCCCGGGCUGUUUUCCUCAUGGUCUUCUGAGGGAAGAUGUCUUUCUACAGUCUACGUCCAGCCUUUUGCAAACUUGUGUUCGACUUUAUUCGAGAUUCGAGUUGUCCCACACUUUAUUCGAGAUUCGAGUUGUCCCACACCCCCUUCUCUGAGAGAGAGAGAGAGAGAGAGAGAGAGAGAGAGAGAGAGAGAACAGCGGCAUUUUUUUCUUCCAAGUUUUUAUUCUUUCUUUUCUUCUGGGCUUGCUGCUUAACAAAGUGGCCACAGUCUUAGUUGUCGAGUGUCUUUCUGAUUUCUCAGGGCUGGGUAAUGUGUCCCCCUGUCCUCCCCCCUCGUAGCAGUUCUAUAAAUGUUUCAAACCAUCUAUAUCCAGUGAAAACUCUCCAGACCUUUAGAGCUUCCACUGCUUAAAGUGCACUGUGGAGUAGGAGCCCCCUACACCCCCAUAAGCACCCCAGCUCGAUGUGGACCUUAUAGGAUUCAGGUUGGCUUGACGAUGGCAGCUCAGGUGGAGGAGGCUGGAGAAGGCUCAAGGGACUUCUGAGGAACCCUGUAACACAAAAGGUGAAGUGUGUUUAUCCCAACUUCAGCCUCAGAAUUCCCUCCAAGAGAGUCAGAGUUGGUGGUUGCCAAAGCUAGCCCCCUCACCCCCACCCCCAAGCUCGUUUGCUUGAAGGGUCCAGCUCAACCCAAGCCCAAAUUAGAAAGAUUUUUGACAGUAUUAAUCAGGGCACUGUGCGAAUUAUUAAAAAGAAACUGCAGUUUCCUCUUCCUUUUCCAAAACUUAUGAAAGAGAAGUGGAUGGGGGGCAAUCUUAUCUAAUUUGGGUGAUCAAGGCAGAGAGAAUAGAUACAUUAUAAAUUCACAGCGUAUGGCACAAAUGUUUCCCGCUUCCUGUGUCCUGCCUGGUAAAACAAAACAAAACAAAAUAAAGCAAAAGAUAGCUGGAAGCUUUGGGGUUCUUGUUUAAUUGGAGAAACUCUAUAAAAAAAAUCCAACAUUUAAAAAAUUAUGACCCCAAACAGGCAAGAUCUCGAACCCAUUUUGCCAGGUUCCCUCCACUACAUAAGAAAGCAGCGCUUCCUAACUUUGUUUUUUCAGCCCCCCUUUUAUGUCCUUUUCGGAACUAGCUCUUCUUUCUCUGUCAAAAUGUGUCUGAUUUUGGUAAAUAUUAAUUAUUCGUUCUCUCUGGAACCCUGUUACAGUCCCUAACCUCCUGGACCAGAGUAUAAACAGACCCCAUCUCCAGUGUCUAACAAAAGUCAGAGAAAGUUCAUUUGGUUAGAACUGGGUCUGAAGCAACACCCUGGGUCCCCAUUGGGUGCUGAAUCACAGCUGCAAAGAUGGAUAUUAAAAUUAAAUAGCCUCAAAACUAAGAACAUGGGGGGGCACUCCACAAGACAGAGGAUUUUUUUUUAAAACUAACAAUGAGGAUGUAAGAUGAAUGUAAUGAGAGAUUUUGCUUCUGUCCUGAUGAACCACUAGCAAUAAUUGAACCAUGAAGAGAAAACUCUGUUUCUCUCCUCUUGCUUUAUUUUCUUAGAAGUCUUUCAGAACUAAACAAAUGCAGGAAAGUUCUUCUCCAAAAGGCUGUCUGCUUACUACUGAUGGAGAGAGGGUUGUGAAAGGAUGUGGUUCUUUUCAUUUAAAGAAUAGCUUAUGAAACAAUUUUUUAAAACCUGUUUAAAAAAGUUCCUUCAUUAUUUUGAUUUUGAAAUGGUUGUGAGAGACAUUUUGUAAACGAAAUGACUUCCUUGGCAUGGUCUAUGGUAAUGUGUAUCCUUAAAUAUCUGAGAGUAUAAUAGGCACCAUUGGGGAAUAGGUGCCAGGUUGGGGAUUGUAUUCUCCGACCUUGUGUGUAUCUGGAAAAAGUAAAAAGCAAAACUUAA